rnacentral:lncRNA from 1 species
AUGAUGAAUGGAACCUUCCAAAUCAUCCGCCUUUAUUUCGCCGAGUUCACGAGCUACGACUGGAUUUCCUGGUUCACGCUGAAACUGAGUCCAGUCCUUUCCAGCUUGACUGCAGAGAUGCUCCAGACAGUAACAUCAUAUACCGACUGCAACGCAUACCACAUCAUCGUCGGGGCUCUGAGCAGCCACUUUGAGCAGAUGACAUCGCUGAGACAGCAGGAGCUCACCGCAGUCCUGUUGGGCUACCUAAAGCAGAGUCAGGCAUCAGGUAGGUCCAGCAUAGGCAGCGCUUGUUUGUCUUGUGGGCUAAAUAAAAUAUCAAUUCUUGGUGUCUGUGCAUCUUCGUCCGUCCUAACGAGUCUCUUUUGCACGUCCCUGUCGCAGGCUCAACCUGUGGGUCCGACACCAGCAGCCUCAGUGUUUGGCUUGAAGAGAGCUUUGGCAAAUUCUCUGUCUACGUGGACUACCAAGACCUGCGUGCACUCAACGAGGCAUUUGGAAGUGUAAGGGGCCCACCGUGCCACUUGGUUGUUCUGGUGACUGCUUUGAGCAAGCACGUUGUUUCUACAGACGUUGUUGUUGUUGUUUUCUCUUCUGCAGUUCCAGGCACUGGACCUUCUGAGUGCCUCUCAAGUUGCUCAGCUGACCCUAACAUCUGGAGCGCUGAACAACGCAGAUCUGAUCACCAUGGUCUUUGAGCGUCUUGACGGCAGCAAUGCUUUCCAGGAUGUGGACCAGUUCUUGACGGUUCUCACCCAGACCUCGCAGGUACGUUCCCAUCCAUGAGAUGGCAAGCGCGCAGCUGUUCCGCUUUGUU